rnacentral:piRNA from 1 species
UAACUGAUGUGUGUCAGCCCGGGAC